CUUUCCAUGCUUUGUGGCUUAUCACUGAGCUGUCCAUGGAGAUUCUACAUGGAUCAAAGAUGAGGCUGUCUGCAAACUGAGGAUUAAAGAAACCAGUCUGAGUCCCAAAAACUGAAGAACCUGGAGUCUGAUGUCUGAGGGCAGGAAGCAUCCAGCACAGGAGAAAGAUGUAAGCUGGGAGGCUAGGCCGGCCUCGUCUUUUCACAUUUCUCUGCCUCCUUUUUAUAUUCUAGCCAUGCUGGCAGCUGAUCAGAUGGUGCCCACCCAGAUUAAGGGUGGUUCUGACUUUCCCAGCCCAGUGAUUCAAAUGUUAAUCUUGGCAAAAUCCUCACAGAUGCACCCAGGAUCAAUACUUUGUAUCCCUCAAUCCAAUAAAGUUGAUACUGAGUAUUAACCAUCAUAUCUAUGUUACUAAUAAACCAGCUACAAAUGAA
ensembl:lncRNA novel transcript